rnacentral:rRNA from 1 species
AUUGAACGCUGGCGGAAUGCUUUACACAUGCAAGUCGAACGGCAGCACGGGGGCAACCCUGGUGGCGAGUGGCGAACGGGUGAGUAAUACAUCGGAACGUGCCCAGUCGUGGGGGAUAACGUAGCGAAAGCUACGCUAAUACCGCAUACGAUCUACGGAUGAAAGCGGGGGAUCGCAAGACCUCGCGCGAUUGGAGCGGCCGAUGGCAGAUUUAGGUAGUUGGUGGGGUAAAGGCUCACCAAGCCUUCGAUCUGUAGCUGGUCUGAGAGGACGACCAGCCACACUGGGACUGAGACACGGCCCAGACUCCUACGGGAGGCAGCAGUGGGGAAUUUUGGACAAUGGGCGAAAGCCUGAUCCAGCCAUUCCGCGUGCAGGAUGAAGGCCCUCGGGUUGUAAACUGCUUUUGUACGGAACGAAACGGCCUUUUCUAAUACAGAGGGCUAAUGACGGUACCGUAAGAAUAAGCACCGGCUAACUACGUGCCAGCAGCCGCGGUAAAGUCG